rnacentral:lncRNA from 1 species
UGCUCUUGAACUCGCCUGACACUCCUAAGCUUUUCUCCAUGUCGCUCUCUGCCAAGAAGAGGACCUUGGCCAGGCAGAAGAGGGCCUGACACCAGCACAGCCUGGGGUUGAAACAGAUGAGCUUGUAUUUCCCUGGGCCAGAUGCUCCUUCAACAAGCAGCAAGUCAUAAGCCUCUGCUGUCUCGGGAUGUUGAAGGUUCUCACUGCUGUUUCAAGACUGGAACCAUCACACCAAGUUUUCAGAAAGAGAGGAGCCAGAAGAAUUUGGAGAUUGCUCCUUUUAGAAUUCUGACCACCCGUGAGUACGUGUGUGUGUGUGUGUAUGUGAUCUUGGCUAAUUACUUCACUUUUCUCAUCCAUCAAACAGGUGUAGCAAUGCCUACCUCAAGGGCUUGUGCUCAGGAUGAAGUGGGUCGAUGCGCUUAAAGCCCUCAGAAUAGCAUCUGUCAGAGUGAGUUUUUUUUUCUAGUUCAUGGGACAGAAGUAGCAGAGAGUCUGAGACUCUCUGAGUACCAACCAUGAUUGCUGGGGCGAGGAAUAUCUGGAGCAAGGAGACAAACCUAAAUUUCAGUGGAGUUUCAUCUCCAUGGUAACUCCUUGCAGAGUGGAGCUGGGACUCUUUACGUGUUCCUAACAACCUCCUCUGGUGACCCAUAUUCCCUCUUUUCUUAGAGACUUAAUCUCUGCAGCAUUUCUGGAUAUUGAUGUAGGUCAGACUCAAAAGACCUAAUAUUUUCUCGGCUCACUUAAGACAUUCUUUUCUUCCUCUCACUUUUUAGAGACAGUGAAUGUGUAGAAAGAGCCCUGGGGAAAGACUUCCUUCUACUAUUUCCCUCCCUCCUUUUCUGGAUCACAGCAUUUAAAAUUCACA